UCCUUUCGCUAUUAAGCGCGCCUAAUUUAAGUAUG
rnacentral:sRNA from 1 species